GAACGCUGGCGGCAUGCCUUACACAUGCAAGUCGAACGGCAGCACGGGGGCAACCCUGGUGGCGAGUGGCGAACGGGUGAGUAAUAUAUCGGAACGUGCCAAGUAGUGGGGGAUAACUAGUCGAAAGAUUAGCUAAUACCGCAUACGCUCUACGGAGGAAAGUGGGGGAUCCGCAAGGACCUCAUGCUAAUUGAGCGGCCGAUAUCUGAUUAGCUAGUUGGUGGGGUAAAAGCUCACCAAGGCGACGAUCAGUAGCUGGUCUGAGAGGACGACCAGCCACACUGGGACUGAGACACGGCCCAGACUCCUACGGGAGGCAGCAGUGGGGAAUUUUGGACAAUGGGGGCAACCCUGAUCCAGCAAUGCCGCGUGAGUGAAGAAGGCCUUCGGGUUGUAAAGCUCUUUUGUCCGGGAAGAAAUCCUAUCCGCUAAUACCGGGUGGGGAUGACGGUACUGGAAGAAUAAGCACCGGCUAACUACGUGCCAGCAGCCGCGGUAAUACGUAGGGUGCAAGCGUUAAUCGGAAUUACUGGGCGUAAAGCGUGCGCAGGCGGUUGUGCAAGACAGAUGUGAAAUCCCCGGGCUUAACCUGGGAAUGGCAUUUGUGACUGCACGGCUAGAGUGUGUCAGAGGGGGGUAGAAUUCCACGUGUAGCAGUGAAAUGCGUAGAGAUGUGGAGGAAUACCGAUGGCGAAGGCAGCCCCCUGGGAUAACACUGACGCUCAUGCACGAAAGCGUGGGGAGCAAACAGGAUUAGAUACCCUGGUAGUCCA
rnacentral:rRNA from 1 species